rfam:Geoalkalibacter ferrihydriticus DSM 17813 scaffold1, whole genome shotgun sequence.
CUUGUAAAAAGCAAACCUGGAGCAAUUCAGGGACGCAAAGCCACGGAUCCUUCGGGAUGGCCGGGUUGCCAAGG